rnacentral:rRNA from 1 species
UAGGGAAUAUUGGGCAAUGGAGGCAACUCUGACCCAGCCAUGCCGCGUGGAGGAAGACGGCGCUCAGCGUUGUAAACUCCUUUUAUCUGGGAAGAAAAGACAGUCUGCGGACUGUUGUGACGGUACCAGAGGAAUAAGCACCGGCUAACUCCGUGCCAGCAGCCGCGGUAAUACGGAGGGUGCAAGCGUUGUCCGGAUUUAUUGGGUUUAAAGGGUGCGUAGGUGGCUUCGUAAGUCUGACCUGAAAGUGGGCCGCUUAACGGCACAGGGUGGUUGGAUACUGCGGAGCUUGAAGAGGGUGGAGGCCGCCGGAACGGAUCGUGUAGCGGUGAAAUGCAUAGAGAUGAUCCAGAACCCCGAUUGCGUAGGCAGGCGGCUACGCCCCACUUGACACUGAGGCACGAGAGCAUGGGGAGCAAACAG